CACUGGGUCUCCCACAUCUCUG
rnacentral:miRNA from 1 species